UACGUAGGGGGCAAGCGUUGUCCGGAUUUAUUGGGCGUAAAGAGCGUGUAGGCGGCCAUACAGGUCAGCUGUGAAAACUCGAGGCUCAACCUCGAGACGUCGGUUGAAACCGUAUGGCUAGAGUCCGGAAGAGGAGAGUGGAAUUCCCGGUGUAGCGGUGAAAUGCGCAGAUAUCGGGAAGAACACCCAUGGCGAAGGCAGUUAACUAUUCGAUUCCUGACGUUGAGGCACGAAAGCGUGGGGAGCAAGACGG
rnacentral:rRNA from 1 species